GGGAUUGUAGCUCAAUGGCAGAGCACUCGCCUAGCAAGUGUGAGGCACUGGGUAGGAAUCUCAGCACCA
rnacentral:tRNA from 1 species